AUUGAACGCUGGCGGCAUGCUUUACACAUGCAAGUCGAACGGCAGCGCGGGGCAACCUGGCGGCGAGUGGCGAACGGGUGAGUAAUAUAUCGGAACGUACCCAAGAGUGGGGGAUAACGUAGCGAAAGUUACGCUAAUACCGCAUACGAUCUAAGGAUGAAAGUGGGGGAUCGCAAGACCUCAUGCUCCUGGUGCGGCCGAUAUCUGAUUAGCUAGUUGGUGAGGUAAAGGCUCACCAAGGCGACGAUCAGUAGCUGGUCUGAGAGGACGACCAGCCACACUGGAACUGAGACACGGUCCAGACUCCUACGGGAGGCAGCAGUGGGGAAUUUUGGACAAUGGGCGCAAGCCUGAUCCAGCAAUGCCGCGUGAGUGAAGAAGGCCUUCGGGUUGUAAAGCUCUUUUGUCAGGGAAGAAACGGUAGAGGCUAAUAUCCUUUGCUAAUGACGGUACCUGAAGAAUAAGCACCGGCUAACUACGUG
rnacentral:rRNA from 1 species